UGUUGUCCUUCACAGCAGCGUGUAUCUACUGGAUUACUCACUCCCCAGAGCCAGCACUCUGUCGGUCAAGGUGUGCUGAGUGAGUGCUACUGUGUGCAAGCACGUACUCUGCAAGGUGCCAGGGACAGGUGAUCAUAGAAUGCGCAGUCCCUGACCCCCGAGGGAGACAGACCCAUCACAGUGCCCUGGACCAUGGCUCUGAUGGACCAAUACCCAGAACUCUGUGAGAACCAACACUGGACAGCCAGAGAAGAGCUUAGAGACAGAGACCUUGGAGAGAGACCAAACCAGUGGCGAUUGGUGUUGUGAGAGUGGAAGAAAUGUUUGCACAGCAGAAUCGACAUUCAGAGCCAGCUAAGAAGCACUCGGAGUGCAGUUCUGCGAGCUUUUAUUGUACCCGCCGUGGACAAGGCCCCGAAUGCUAGAGAUACAGAUGCAGCAGGAGAUUCCUCCAUCCUGUUUGGGGUCCAACAUUACACUGCAAAAGAUUCCACUGCCUCCGCCUAAGGAACACCAGUCUCAGGGAGUCGGAGGUGGCCUUCUGCAUCCCUCCCACUGAAGAAGAGAAAACAACACACAAAUUCAAUCUCUAGUGGGGCACCCCUCUUUGGUGGCCCAUCAAACCCCAGAGAUAAAUUUGAUGCUAUCUUUGCCUCAAAAACUCCAGUCUUUUGCAGGAAUCAGACAUGGGCAAUAACAUUCUUAUGAGGCAAGAUAGACUAUGUGCUAAAUACAGGUUCAAAAAGCCCUCGUUAAUUCUGACUUGGUGAAUUGGGGAGACUUUCACAGAGGAGGUAUUUGACCUGGUUCUUUGAAGAUAAGAAGGAGUUAAUAGAUGGAUAAUAAGGGAAAUGACAUUCUAGAAUGGAGGUGCAGAAUGAGCCCGGCAGGGAAGCUUGAAAAUGUGAGCUUUACUUGGAGAACAAUGAGGGGUCCAGCAUUGGUAAGCAGCAGCGUUCAUCCUGGGACUCGAAGCUGACAUGUAUAAUGAUGUCCCACCACGAGAACUUGCGUGCUGUGGAAGCGGGUUGGGUCUUUAUUUGGGAGGGUUGGAAAAGCACCAUGACAGGUUCCUCAAGAGCAGAGGGACCCGAUCCUUCCUCAGAUGAAUGAACUUUGGGGGGACUGCUGCUCAUCCGCGGGAAGGAUGGAGAAAUUAACAGGCCACCAGCUUGGAAGCUAUUGCUACCUGCCUGGAAAAGAGAGACAGAACCAGGCUCAGGGCAGCAGGAAGCAGAAGGAGAGACAGUGCAGAGAGAAUCAGUAGGUUUCUGCACCUGACUAGCUGAGAUCUCACUGUCUGGGGGUGUGUUUGAUCUUCUCACCAGAGUGCAAGCCCCCCGAGGGCAGGAGCCACGUCUUACUCAUCUUUGUGUCCUCAGAGUUUAACACAGUUGGCUCUCAUUAUAGUAGAAGUCUUAACCUGGUAGCCUUACGUGAGCAUCAAGGUAGUCUGCAAAUCCCCCCAAAAUGAUAUGCAGAAUUCUGUGUCUGUGCAUUUGUGCACCUUACUGUUGGAGAGGGUCUGUAGCUUUUAUCACAUCCUCCAAGGGCCCUGUGACCCCAAAAAUGGUUAAGAACCACUGCUUUAGAAAUUUGUCACCUUCGUAAAUGUUUCUGACUCUUAGUUUCUGUUUUUAUUCCUUCUCUAAGUACCAACUUCCUAUUAAAAAAAAAAAAAAGAAAAAGACAGGGUCAAAAACAUUAAAUGGAUGCUGUGAACAUUAUCACAUUUUAUUUGUAGUAAAAAAUCCAACACAUAAAUUCAGCUGUGAGUCUCAGUUAUGCUGAAACUCUGAAAGGCGUUUCCCCUGCCCGUAGCUGACCUCAUUCUCAGGUAGCGCGCACUGUUUCAGGACCCGCUGUCUAAUAGCUGACCCUUCUAUAAGAAUGUGAAUCCAUUUUAAUUUGGACUUUAGCUUCUGCAGCAAGUGCCUUUGAAGAAGCACCUUCCUGAGAAUGCCAACUUGCACCCUUCAAUUACGACCGGAUAAUUAGGAUGGAGGCUCGCCCGCCGCGCAUUCCAUUUCUAGGUGGGUGGAGGGGGACAGGUGUGGCCUUUCUGGGCAACUGACACUUUCACCAAACAUUGAAAGGGAUCAUGUUGUCCAAAUCCAGGCUGAAUGAGGAGUUUGUGCCACUUCUUCAUGCCAGGGGGGCCUGGGAGAUGUGGCUUGGAUGCCAAACUAGAUUUACUGUGAUAUCCCAGUGAUCUGGGGGGACGACAUAACAGGGUAGUUAAAAGCAGGGCUGGUCGGGAGAAUCUGGAACACAGGUUCCCCAGAAGAAGAAAAUAGCCUCUGACCUCAAGAAAAUAUGCAGUCUGGUUGGAGGGAUAAGAUACACAAUUAAGGGAGAAAGAACCUACCUGACAAAGGGACAAGGAAGUGUGCACUCAGUGCAAGGUAAAUUAUUUAGAGAAGGGGAAGGGAGGUUGUAGGAAUUCGGAGAAGAGAGCUGCCGCUGUGUAAUGAGGUGCUUAAAAGGGGGGACAUAGGGGCCAGCCCAGUGGCACAGCAGUUAAGUGCACACAUUCUGCUUCAGCAGCCCAGGGGUCACCGGUUCAGGUCCCAGGUGUGGAUGGCACUGCUUGGGAAGCCAUGCUGUGGUAGGCGUCCCACAUGUAAAGUAGAGGAAGAUAGGCACAGAUGUUAGCUCA
ensembl:lncRNA